GAGGAUAUAGCUCAGUGGUAGGGACUGUGCCUAGCACGCACAAAGUCCUGGGUUCAAUGCCCAGGACCUCCA
rnacentral:tRNA from 1 species